AGUGAACGCUGGCGGUAGGCCUAACACAUGCAAGUCGAACGGCAGCACAGGAGAGCUUGCUCUCUGGGUGGCGAGUGGCGGACGGGUGAGGAAUACAUCGGAAUCUACUUUUUCGUGGGGGAUAACGUAGGGAAACUUACGCUAAUACCGCAUACGACCUACGGGUGAAAGCAGGGGAUCUUCGGACCUUGCGCGAUUGAAUGAGCCGAUGUCGGAUUAGCUAGUUGGCGGGGUAAAGGCCCACCAAGGCGACGAUCCGUAGCUGGUCUGAGCGGAUGCUCAGCCACACUGGAACUGAGACACGGGCCAGACUCCUACGGGAGGCAGCAGUGGGGAAUAUUGGACAAUGGGCGCAAGCCUGAUCCAGCCAUACCGCGUGAGUGAAGAAGGCCUUCGGGUUGUAAAGCCCUUUUGUUGGGAAAGAAAUCCAGCUGGUUAAUACCCGGUUGGGAUGACGGUACCCAAAGAAUAAGCACCGGCUAACUUCGUGCCAGCCGCCGCCGUAA
rnacentral:rRNA from 1 species